UUAAAAUAGAAUCUUUUUUAUCAUAUAUGUGUCUAAUAAGGAGACACGUUUCUACCUGAUACCGUAAACAUCAGACUAUGAUAGAGAGUGUUUUUUAG
rnacentral:ncRNA from 2 species